rnacentral:rRNA from 1 species
AUUGAACGCUGGCGGCAGGCCUAACACAUGCAAGUCGAGCGAGCGGCGGACGGGUGAGUAAUGUCUGGGAACCUGCCCGAUGGAGGGGGAUAACUACUGGAACCGGUGGCUAAUACCGCAUACCAUCAGAUGAUCCCAGAUGGGAUUAGCUAGUAGGUGGGGUAAAGGCUCACCUAGGCGACGAUCCCUAGCUGGUCUGAGAGGAUGACCAGCCACACUGGAACUGAGACACGGCCCAGACUCCUACGGGAGGCAGCAGUGGGGAAUAUUGCACAAUGGGCGAAAGCCUGAUGCAGCCAGGCCGCGUGUGUGAAGAAGGCCUUCGGGUUGUAAAGCACUUUCAGCGGGGAGGCGUUACCCGCAGAAGAAGCACCGGCUAACUCCGUGCCAGCAGCCGCGGUAAUAC